AGUCUACAGUUGAGAAUCAUAGUGACAUGUUGUAUUUCGCCGGCAAGUGUGUAAUUACGUAAAAAUUCUUGAUAGAAUAUUAUAUUAAUAUGGUUAUUACACUAUUAUUAAACCUUUUAUAACUAAUGCGUGUUUGUUUAAUCAUUAUCAUAUUCGAAUUGAACAAUUUUGUGCAAAUUAUCGUUUGAAGAUGAAUGGCUUUGAAAAUGUAACCGUUUCUACGCACAUCGUAUUAAUUAAAAGAUAAUCCGACGACUUUCACGCAAAUGUGGAAAUUCGUGUUUGUAUCAUGUUCGACAUAUUCCGACUUGUCGAAUUGUUGACCAUAUCCCCUCUCCAAUUUGUAAUUCGAUACAUCGAAAUCGCUACGUCAUUCUGUCGUAACGGACGCCUCACUUCAGUGAUGCCUCUCGCAAAAUUCCUGAAUUCUCUGACAAGCUUCCUCCAACAUUUCCAUGGGAACUGUGAUGACCAGUCUCAUGUAGGAUGGAUAAUCAAAGCACUGUGAAAAGAAGGAAGAAAAGAAGCGUGCGUGUAAUCGGCGAAAACGUCAAAUUGAAUGGGUACUGGAAUUAUUCGGCGUACCUGGCCAGGAAGACAAAACACGGACUCCUCCAUUAGCAAUCGCUGCACGAAUUCGAGGUCGGAAUUAAAUUCCGGAAAACAAGGUAAAUCUAUGUAAACCUGGGGAAUCGAUAGAAUAAUUUAUAGUCGAUAAAUUGCGAUCGACCACCUUUAACAUUUCCUGUUUAUCUUUACGUUUAAAUCACGUCUGAUUUUCGACUAAUUACGCGAAAUAUUUACACGAAUGCAAGUUCGAUCGAACCCAUCUUGCAAUUCAGUUUAACGGUAAAUCGCAAGCAAUUUACGAUUAAACGUAUCGUUUACAACUUUACAAAAGUAUUUUGCCUCGUAACUUUCGCAUUUUUUUUUUUAUAUGUAUAUAUUAGGAUGUUUUUCACAAUUUUUCACGAAUCGUAUACCGUAUAUUCGAAAAAUCGCGAAAUAUCGAUAGAUAAAAUUUAAGAUUUACCAUCAUGUACAUUGCACCGUUGGGCAUUAUUGGUUUCAGUCCAGGAAUCUUAAUCGUAUAAUCGUACGCCAAUUUCGAAUGAUUCUGAAAUUGGAUAUGGAAAUUUUAAUUAUCAAUUUCUUCUAUCGUGUUAAUUUGAUUCAAUCGUUGCGAUUAAUAUUCGUUCAAUUUUAAUUCAUUAUACGUUAUACGUUAAUUUUCUAUUCUAAAUUUUUAAAAAAUCGUAAAAUACAUAUAACUUACAUAUAACGUUUUCAUUACAUCAUCGUAAAAUUCCUGUGGCGUGUUCUUCAAAAUAGCAGGCAGAGCACCCUGAACAAGCGUGUUGCUACCGAUGAUUCUUUGACUUAAGCAAUGAAGCGCUUUCCUAAUCUAACGAAAAAAAGGAAAUAUAUAUUAUAUAUCGAAUGUAAUCGUAAGUUCUUGCAUAAAGAGAAAUACGAAAGUUAAAA